rnacentral:rRNA from 1 species
CCAGCAGCUGCGGUAAUACGAAGGGUGCAAGCGUUACUCGGAAUUACUGGGCGUAAAGCGUGCGUAGGUGGUUUGUUAAGUCAGAUGUGAAAGCCCCGGGCUCAACCUGGGAAUUGCAUUUGAUACUGGCGAACUAGAGUGAGGUAGAGGAGAGUGGAAUUCCCGGUGUAGCAGUGAAAUGCGUAGAGAUCGGGAGGAACAUCAGUUGCGAAGGCGGCUCUCUGGACCAUCACUGACACUGAGGCACGAAAGCGUGGGGAGCAAACAGGAUUAGAUACCCUGGUAGUCCACGCCCUAAACGAUGCGAACUGGACGUUGGGAUCAAUUGAGAUUUCAGUGUCGAAGCUAACGCGUUAAGUUCGCCGCCUGGGGAGUACGGUCGCAAGACUGAAACUCAAAGGAAUUGACGGGGGCCCGCACAAGCGGUGGAGUAUGUGGUUUAAUUCGAUGCAACGCGAAGAACCUUACCUGGUCUUGACAUGUACGGAAUCCUUUAGAGAUAGAGGAGUGCCUUCGGGAACCGUAACACA